rnacentral:rRNA from 1 species
UACGGAGGUGGCGAGCGUUGUCCGAAGUUACUGGGCGUAAAGCGCGCGUAGGCGGGCUCUUAAGUGAGAAGUGAAAGGCUGGGGCUCAACUCCAUGCAGUGCUUCUCAUACUGGGGGUCUUGAGGGCGGUAGAGAGAAGUGGAAUGGCUGGUGUAGCGGUGAAAUGCGUAGAGAUCCGGAGGAACACCGACGGCGCAGGCAGCGUCCUGGCCGCUUGCUGACACUGAGGCACGAAAGCUGGGGGAGCAAACAGG